CCCUAGCCCCGAUAGCAGUGCAAAUCCUUUUGUGCCGGUGUUCGGCACAAAAGAUUGCAACGGAUAGCGGGAAAAAGC
rnacentral:sRNA from 1 species